rnacentral:rRNA from 1 species
ACGAACGCUGGCGGCGUGCUUAACCCAUGCAAGUCGAACGGAAAGGCCCUGCUUUUGUGGGGUGCUCGAGUGGCGAACGGGUGAGUAACACGUGAGUAACCUGCCCUUGACUUUGGGAUAACUUCAGGAAACUGGGGCUAAUACCGGAUAGGAGCUCCUGCUGCAUGGUGGGGGUUGGAAAGUUUCGGCGGUUGGGGAUGGACUCGCGGCUUAUCAGCUUGUUGGUGGGGUAGUGGCUUACCAAGGCUUUGACGGGUAGCCGGCCUGAGAGGGUGACCGGCCACAUUGGGACUGAGGUACGGCCCAGACUCCUACGGGAGGCAGCAGUGGGGAAUAUUGCACAAUGGGCGGAAGCCUGAUGCAGCAACGCCGCGUGCGGGAUGACGGCCUUCGGGUUGUAAACCGCUUUCGCCUGUGACGAAGCGUGAGUGACGGUAAUGGGUAAAGAAGCACCGGCUAACUACGUG